CUGUAAUAUUUUUGCUGUUCUGAGUUAGUAGUAUCGGGACAGGCUAAACAUUCACUACAAAGACCAUGCAGUGUCCCUAGACCUAAUUCUUUCACUGGGUCUGGUUUUGUAAAUGCUGGUGAUAAAC
ensembl:snoRNA SNORA72 Small nucleolar RNA SNORA72